rnacentral:rRNA from 1 species
CUCUAAACUAGGAUUAGAUACCCUAUUAUUUUAGAAUGUUAAAGUUUGUGCCUGAGUAGUAUUAGUUAUGUUCUUGAAACUUAAAGAAUUUGGCGGUAUCUCAUUCCGUCCAGAGGAAUCUGUCCCGUUAUCGAUAGUCCACGUUGGACCUUACUUAUUUGAUUUUGGUUUGUAUACCGCCGUUUAUUGUUUAUCUUUUUAGAGGUGUUAAUUUUCUGGUUUCUUUAUUUUGAUAUAUUUCAGGUCAAGGUGCAGCUUGUUUUUAAGUGGAAUGAUGGAUUACAUUGUUAUUUGUUUAUGGAUUAUUGGUUUUAAUAUUGAUAUGAAAUUGGAUUUGGUAAUAAUAAUUUGUAGAAUGUUAUUACGAUAAUUGGUUCUGGGAUAUGCACACAUCGCCCCGCCGGCAACUCGCCAAUACAACG